AGCGAACGUUUGCGGCGGGCCUAACACAUGCAAGUCGAACGAGAAUCCCUUCGGGGAGGACAGUGGCGCACGGGUGCGUAACACGUGGAUAAUCAACCCCCCAGUUCGGGACAACACCGGGAAACUGGUGCUAAUACCGGAUGUGGCUCGGAGCUCAUAAGGGCACCGAGAGAAAGACACGCAAGGGUUGCUGGGGGACGAGUCCGCGGCCCAUCAGCUUGUUGGCGAGGUAAUGGCUCACCAAGGCGAAGACGGGUAGCUGGUCUGAGAGGAUGGCCAGCCACACUGGAACUGAGACACGGUCCAG
rnacentral:rRNA from 1 species